rnacentral:misc_RNA from 1 species
AAUUAACUCAACAUCUACUGAGGAAUUCAUGAAUUAAGAAUUACAAAACAACCAAAACUAUGCAUAUAAAAAGAAAAACACAAACCAUCAAAGGAAAAAAAAACAAAUGAAAAACCACCAUUUUAUUUUUUACAAAAUCAUCAAGUAAUUAAUUGUUGCAGGGAGGUUCUGAAGAUCACUUUUUUUCACUCAUGCACUUGAUUUGAUUGGGAUAUAAAUAUUUCAUCUCUGCAACAAACUUUUAGAAAACAUUUGUUUGUAAAUCCUCCAUCUCAGGAUUGAUGUCUUUUCCUUCUUUCUCAGCUUCAGUUCCCAAAAAAGGAGCAGAAUCUAGUUUGGGAGGGUUCAUGCAACGAAUUAAUGCCCAAUUCACACCGCGGAAGAACGGAUGCUGCUUGAUUUCGUUUGCUCCUUCACGAGAUCCUAACCUGUUUUUGGGAUCUCUGUGCAACAAUCUAUACAUUAACUGCUUCGCGUGGAGACUAGACUGUAUGCUUCCUGGGAAUUUUAAAUCCUUAUGUAGUAUAUUUGAGAAUGUCUUCUGCCUUGUCUUUCCCCUGAAUGGUGUAUAACCAUACAACAUUUCAUACAAAAGAAUGCCAAGAGCCCACCAAUCCACUGCACUAGUAUGCCCUGCUCCAGUUAUGAUCUCCGGAGCUAUGUAUUCUUCAGUUCCAACAAAA